AGGGGUGUAGCUCAGCGGCAGAGCACUUGCCUAGCAUGUAUGAGGCCCUGGGUUAGAUCCCCAGCACUGCAA
rnacentral:tRNA from 1 species